rnacentral:SRP_RNA from 1 species
GCCCAGUGGUGCAUAUGUGGGUGUACCAGUAGUCCCAUCUACUAGGAAGGCUGAGGCAGGAGGAUCACUUGAGCCUAGGAGUUCUGGACUGUAGUGCACUAUGCUGAUUGGGUGUCCUAAGUUCCGAUUCAAUAUGGUGACGUUCUGGGAAUGGGGACCCUAGGUUGCCUAAAGAGGGGUGAACUGGCUCAGGUUGGAAAUGGAGCAGCUCAAAACUCCUGUACUAAUCAGUAGUGGUAUACCCCGUGCCAAUCAGUAGUGGUAUAUCCUAUGCUAAUCAGUAGUGCUAUACCCCAU